rnacentral:RNase_P_RNA from 1 species
CGCUUGACCGCGCCCGGAAGGGUGAGGAAAGUCCGAGCUCCGCAGGGCAGGAUGCCUGAUAACGUCAGGCGGGGGUGACCCCAGGGAAAGUGCAACAGAAAGGAAACCGCCGGCUCAGGCCGGUAAGGAUGAAAGGGCGAGGUAAGAGCUCACCGGCGGGCAGGCAACUGUCCGGCUGUGUAAACCCCAUCCGGAGCAAGACUAAGAAAGGGCAUGUAUCGGCGGCCCGUCGAGCCCGUGGUAAGUCGCUUGAUGCUGCCGGCGACGGCACGCACAGAUAGAUGGUCAUUAAAACAGAACUCGGCUUAUGAGCUUGCUUAU